rnacentral:lncRNA from 1 species
GACUGUCGGCGUCCUGGCGGAUCUGCUCCUGUUCCUCGGGCCAGCCGGCUCCACCCCGCGUUUUGGGAUUCCAGGACAUCCGACCAUCCGGCUCCCACAGCCCCUUGUGCAGGUAAUGAAGCUCCCAGCUGCCAGAUAGAUGGAUGCUGAGACUCCCCGUGGGGCGCUCAGGGGCCCCCCUGCAGGAGGGCCCCCCUGGGGCUUCAGCGGGGAGCAGGGGCAGCUAGCACACCUGGCCAAGCAUGUCGAAGAGCAACAGCUGCUGCCCAGACCCUGCCUCUCCCAGGCCGGCCCAGCCAGGAUCCUCUGCAGCUACGAUCCUGCCCCCCACCCCCCUGCGUCCCCAAGGAAUCCAAUAAAGCUUUGUGAAACCACCUUCCCGAAUGCAGUGUGGACUCAUUGGAAACAUCUAACUUCCAAACAUUUCAUCCUGUCCUUCUGCACGAUGGUGGACAGCCCUAAGCGAGGUAGGGUGUGUCCGCGGCCGGGCAGACUGAGGUCUUCAAGGACCUGGGACUGGGCGGGAGAGCACACAGUCCCUGGGAGCUCCCCUUCGGGUAGAGUGUCUGGUGAAUCCACCCCCACCGCAUCCCCCUGGCUGCUGACCCUCCUGGGAGUCCUCUCAGGGACCCGAGAGCCCCAUCGGGGGGCAGGGCUCACCCUUUGCUUUUGCUUCAAGGACCGUUUCUUCUUUCUGACUCGACCUCUUCCAACUCCCGCUCGGUUCGGCUCAACAGGGUGGAUGCGCCGCUGGUGGGCGGUGGCUGCGGGCUCAGCGGUCUCCGGGCUUAGGGGUUUUAGAGGUGUCCUUGGCCCAGCAGGUCUCUGUCCAUCUUCACAGGACAUGCUCUGGCCGGGCACCCUCCCGGGAGCUGCCGGCGAGGCUCUGGGGUGGUUGGCCGCCUGGGAGCUCGGCCAGGAGAGCUUGUUGGGGCCUCCGGGCCUGCAUGGAGCUGGUGUUGGCAGCAUUCCUGAGCCGGGGGAGGUCUGAGGCUCCCGGCCAAAGAGAGGGGAAGGCCUGGAGGUGAGGCCCUGGCUACCUAGUGGGUGACCUGGGCGUGUCCCGCCCUCCCUCUGGCCUCAUCAUACAUUGCAUGGGGAUUGGGUGGCUGCUUUCCACGCCUUUCCUGUGCUACGCCUCCACGAUCCCAGAAGAUUCAAGGAGGGCCUAUAGGUCCUUCCCUGGAUGCUGCUCUGGGGCUGGGGUCUCAGUAUGCUCUGGGGCUGUCGACAGCCCCCUGCUCGAUGGAACCUGCUCCCGGCCUGUCUUUCGCCUGCCCCUUUCUGGCCCCAGCUCUGGGGCCUUGUAUGUGGGCCCAGUCCUACCUCUCAGACCCAGCCUGGCUCUGACUUGCUCCUGCCCUGAGCGCAGACACAACUAAGCAUUCUGCAAGCCUCCUGGUGCCAGACUGGGCCCCUGCAGAGGGCGGGUGACUCCUUUCCCGAGGCCUGUAUGGGAGGCUGCCCGUGGGCGCGGCCUGCCUGGGGCUGGAGGGAUGUCGGAUGCUCAGUCAUUAAUAUGGAAGGCAAACUCUGCUCUGAGCCCUCCAGCGGGCUGGAGAGCCAUCUUUGGGCCACUCUGUCCUGUCCAUCUCUUACUCUCUCUGGAAGACGGUAGGGCACAGUCAGCCAGUGCACUGGCGCCCUAAAUCGCUUUCUUCUAUGACUCUCUUUCCUCGACUGAGAGGUGUGCCUGAUGCCGUGACCGCGUUGUAGUUGCCCUGUUCUUUAUGCCAGGCAGUGGCCACUCUACACGAGGGCACGUGUGGGUGUAUCUAUUUAUACCCAGCCUUGUUCUGAAGUGCUCUUCAAGCCUCUUGCAGGAAGCCGUGGAAUAGCAGGGGGCGCCACAGAGGAGAAGAAAAAGUGGAACCGAGAGGAAGGACCUGUUCCCCCCUGGGGACCCAGGGCCACCCCAGCAGCCUCCACGUGGGCCACAGACCCAUUGUGCCUCCAGUAUCCUGGUAGUUAGACCUGAUGGCUGUGAUUCCCAAUGUCCAGAGGACAAAAUGACUGUCCAGCUGCCCGAGAUGGGCAGCUGUGGGUGUGCCUGCACUGGACACAUGCCAGUAGGACCGUCUCUGAGGCCAGUCAGCCUCCGUCUCUGAACCUGGGGUCACCAUGGUGCAGAAACCCAGGGCUCUGCACAGAGAAAAUGCCACUGCGCUCACGGCUGCCAGUGUGUUGGAGCUCAGCAGAGAGGGGCCCUCGCCUGGCGUUGCUGAGGCUGAGAGAUGGCCAAUAAAGCGGUGAGGGUCUCAGCUCUGCUGUCUGGUGAGGGUGCCCUCCUGAACUGCAUUGACCCCUUACCCCACCCCCAAACCCUUGUCCACCCUAGGCUCCCAGUGGGCUCCCAGUGAAUCAGGCUUGGUGUUUACCUUUCAGGAGCCCCCAAGCCUGGCCAGGCCCCUGGAAAGAGUAGGCGUGCUCCAGGGAAAGGCCCCUAGUCUUCAGUGAGAUCUUUUGGAGCUGGUGGGAGACAGGAAGGCUCAGGGAAAGGAGGGUCUAUGCAACUCUGUGUCCCAGCAGCCUCCGUGUGUGUCACUCUACUACGGUCAAGUUGUGUGAUCUUGGGCAAGUCACUUGAAUUCUCCGUGCCUCCAUCUCGUCAUCUGUGAAAUGCGCAGAUCAUUCAACCCCACCAUGUAAGGAGGUUGUUAUUGUUGUUCAGUUGCUCAGUUGUGCCCAACUCUUUGCAACUCCAUGGACUGCAGCACACCAGGAUUUCCUGUUCUUCACUAUCUCCCGGAGUUUGCUCAAACUCAUGUCCAUUGAGUCAGUGAUGCCAUCCAACCAUCUCAUUCUCUGUUGUCCCCUUCUCCUCCUGCCCUCAAUCUUUGCCAGCAUCAGGAUCUUUUCCAAUGAGUCAGUUUUUCACAUCAGAUGGCCAGAGUAUUGGAGCUUCAGCUUCAGCACCAGAUCUUCCAAUCGAUAUUCAGUGUUUAUUUCCUUUAGGAUGGACUGGUUUGAUCUCCCUGUUGUCCAAGGGACUCUCAUGAGUCUUCUCCAACACCACAAUUCAAAAGCAUCAAUUCUUCGGCACUCUGCCUUCUUUAUGGUCCAACUCUCACAUCUGUACAUGACUACUGGAAAAACUAUAGCUUUGACUAUAUGCAACUUUUAUUACCCCCAUUUUAUAGAUGAGAAAACUGAGGCUCAAAGAAAUGAUUUGCCUAAAGACACAGAACUAGUGUCUGAUUUCAGAACUCACCCUCACUAGUUAAUGAGAGAUGCUCAGUGAUUAAUGGGGUGACACUGGGGGCAGAAUGGGGCGUGGGGAGGUUGGGAGAAGGGCUUGGAGGUAACCUGGCUACUCAGAGGGAUGGGAAUUCUGGGGAAGGGGAGUCUGCCUCGUUCUUUGGGAACACGCCGAGUUGGAGGUGUCUGCAGGUCUCAGGAGAAGAUUCGUGCACUAGGCCAGGAUCGGGGGCAGCAGAGGGCUGGGCCUCGGCAUUGUGGGCAUAAUAAAGCUUUGCUUUUGGAAUUUCACACUGUUGGGGAAAGAUGGUUGCUGACAAGCCACGGUCUCGAAGCCAGCUAACCCUGCAUCGAGAGGGCUGGGUGCUGGGAUGCUGGCCCCUGGCCAGUGAAAACACUUCUCUGAGGACGGCGUCUCCAGGGCCCUCGGGUGGUGGCAGGUGUGGAUACCCAUAGCCAAGGCUGUCCCUGUAAGACCGAGCCCUUCCAUCCAACAGGUCACUUGACCUUUGGGAUCUCUGGGAUCUCACACACUUGAUUCAAAUCCUGGCUCCACUUCCUGUAGGCUGUGUGGCACUGGGCACAUUCCUGGCCCUCUCUG